rnacentral:lncRNA from 1 species
CUCAAGCCGUAACAGAAAUUACAGCUCAGACUCCACAGAAGGCCACCUUCAAUGGGAUAUGUUUUCUGUUUUAAGUUGGCAGUAUAAAGUAAGAGGUCCUUUCUGCAGGCAAAUUCUAUGGGAAGGUGGCAUGGUUUGUCCAGCUGACAGCAGAAUGGCAGAUGGUGGGUGUGGGGAGGCUUGGGGUAGGAGGAUCUGUAGAUCCCAAGGGGCAGUUGAUAUUCUUCUAGCUUUAGAGAAAUCAGGAAGGGGACUGACAGCUCCUGUUUUAAUAAGGUGAUGCCCCUUGGAACGCUCUUGGCAGUUGGCUUCAUUUACAGUGACGUCUAGUCUUUUCAACAUGGUUUUCAUCUUUACUGCUCCGAGGAAAUUCUUAUUCAUCAAAGCCUAUUGUGAUGCUUAGGCAUGUCUUCCUUCUGUAAAGCCUUCCAUCUUUAAUCCACCAAAGUGGGGAAAACGUGAUGUUGAAAUACAGUUGAAGCAAAGCAGCAGCUGAACCUCUGCAUUUGUUCUGCACUGAUGGGUGAGGGGCUGCUCUGUGUAGUCAUUCAGCAUCAGGAAUUGCCAUUGUUCGCUUGCUUUCUGAGGAGAGAAUUACUUCUUCAAAGGGAUGCUCAGUGCCCAGAAGAGGAGGACAGUCUCUGGGAGAGACAUUUUACUGCUGCUGCAGUUCAAGAUGGAAUGGCAGCAAGCAGACUGCUUGCUGCAGUAGAAGUCCUGCAUAAACCUCUGAGGCAGCUCAGAACACCAUGUGCAAGAAUCCAGGUGCCCAUCUGUAACCCUCGACACCUACAUGUUUUAAAAGCAUGACUCAAGUGUCUUCUGGGAGGAGGAUUUAGGCCCUUGGUCACUGCUGUAUACCCUGAACUUUGCAGUGCUCUGGCUUGGUGCAGGGAUGAGCAAUCACAUGCGCUCUGUAAGGAACUGUUGCUCUUUGGUAAUAUUUCUUCAGGUUAAGCAUGACAAUCUCUCAUCAUUGGUGUAUAUGAUGUGAAGAGCCUCUUUCUCCAUCAUUUCAGAUUAUCUUGUUAGUGGGAUGUAUGUUACAUCAAUUUUGUGUGCCUAAUAAUUUCUACAUUGGAGAAGGUGACUGCUUACAGACAUUUGCUAUCCAAUUUAACUGCAUUCUUAUUUAACGUUGUUGAUGUCUCAGGUGACUGCUCCAUGGGAGCAUAGGAGAUGUUUCACCUCUUUGUCUAUGUGUGUUUACUGCUUGUACUGCUGAAAAUCCCAUUCAGACUGGUGAUUAAAGGAGUCCAACUAAAUGUCAUCUAAAG